rnacentral:tRNA from 1 species
CGGGGUAUGGCGCAGCUUGGUAGCGCGCUUGCAUGGGGUGCAAGAGGUCAUGGGUUCAAGUCCCGUUACCCCGACUA